AAUGGGCGAUGAAGGGCGUAGCAAGUUGCGAAAAGCUUCGGGGAGCCGCUAACAGGCGUUGAUCCGGAGGUACCCGAAUAGGGAAACCUUACGUGGGUUAUACCGCGUAAUCCCUGACUGAAUUCAUAGGUCAGGGAGGCUCACCAGGGGAAUUGAAACAUCUAAGUACCCUGAGGAAAAGAAAACAAAAGUGAUUCCCCUAGUAGCGGCGAGCGAACGGGGAUCAGCCUAAACCAGAAUGUAUGUCAAGCUCGUGGGCGUUGUACAUCUGGGGUUGUGGGUUUUGACUGGACGGAGCUACGAAUCCGUCGGAGUGUUACAAAAGCAUGUUAUAGCUUAAGAAACUGGAAAGUUUCGCCAUAGAGGGUGAUAGCCCCGUGAGCGAAAUGGCAUGUUCACUCUGGGUCAGAUACCCGAGUACCGCGGGACACGAGAAAUCUUGUGGGAAUCUGGGAGGACCACCUCCCAAGGCUAAAUACCAAUUGGCGACCGAUAGUGAACUAGUACCGUGAGGGAAAGGUGAAAAGCACCCCGGUGAGGGGAGUGAAAUAGAAUAUGAAACCGCAAGCCUACAAUCAGUGGGAGCACUAUAUUUCCGAUUCGGCGGAGACACGUGUGACCGCGUACCUUUUGCAUAAUGAGCCGCCGAGUUACCCUAUGAAGCAAGGUUAAGCCGUUAGGUGGAGCCGUAGCGAAAGCGAGUCUGAAUAGGGCGAAGAGUUAAAUGGAGUAGACCCGAAGCCGAGUGAUCUACCCAUGGCCAGGGUGAAGCGGAGGUAACACUUCGUGAAGGCCCGAACCCGUUGUCGUUGAAAAGACUUGGGAUGAGUUGUGGGUAGGGGUGAAAGGCCAAUCAAACUCGGCAAUAGCUGGUUCUCCUCGAAAUAGUUUUAGGACUAGCCUUGCAUAAGAUAGCUUAUAGAGGUAGGGCGCUGGAUGGGCUAGGGGCCCCACCAGGUUACCAAACCCAACCAAUCUUCGAAUUCUAUAAGUGGUAACGCAGGAGUCAGACUAUGGGUGAUAAGGUCCAUGGUCGAGAGGGAAAGAGCCCAGAUCGUCAGCUAAGGUCCCAAAGAUAAACUAAGUGGGAAAGGUUGUAGGUAUACUGAGACAAUCAGGAGGUUGGCUUAGAAGCAGCAAUCCUUUAAAGAAAGCGUAACAGCUCACUGAUCAAGUGUGUCUGCGCCGAAAAUGUAACGGGGCUAAAGUUUAUCACCGAAGCUACGAAUUGAGUAUAACCUCGGUUAUACUUUCUGGUAGAGGAGCGUUCCAUACUGGGUUGAAGCGGGAUCGUAAGGACUCGUGGACUGUAUGGAAGUGAGUAUGACGGCAUAAGUAACGAUAAAAUAGGUGAGAAACCUAUUCGCCGAAAAUCCAAGGUUUCCUGAGGAAGGGUAAUCCUCUCAGGGUAAGUCGGCCCCUAAGACGAGGCUGAGAAGCGUAGUCGAUGGGAAACAGGUUAAUAUUCCUGUACCGGUGGAUUUGUGUUUGAACGAUGGGGUAACGUAGAAGGGUAACUUAUCCGGGUGUUGGAUGUCCCGGUUCAAGCGUGUAGGAGGGUGGUUUUGGCAAAUCCGGACCGCCAUUAACUCCGAGACGUGAUGAGGAGCUAUACUUUCGGGUCUAGCGAACUAAGCGAUCCCAUGCUACCGAGAAAAACCUCUAAGUGAAUAAAUCUUCCGACCGUACUCCAAACCAACGCAGGUGGAUAAGGAGAGAAUCCUAAGGCGCUUGAGAAAACUCUGGUUAAGGAACUCGGCAAAUUAGCUCCGUAACUUCGGGAUAAGGAGUGCCCUUGGUAAGUGAAAGAACUUGCUUCUGGAGCUGAAGGGGGUUGCAGUGACCAGGUAGCCGCGACUGUUUACUAAAAACACAGGACUCUGCGAAGUCGCAAGACGAUGUAUAGGGUCUGACGCCUGCCCGGUGCCGGAAGGUUAAAAGGAGGGGUUAGCUUUCGAGCGAAGCUCCGAAUUGAAGCCCCGGUAAACGGCGGCCGUAACUAUAACGGUCCUAAGGUAGCGAAAUUCCUUGUCGGGUAAGUUCCGACCUGCACGAAUGGCGUAACAAUGGCUGCACUGUCUCAACCA
rnacentral:rRNA from 1 species